UACGGAGGGGGCUAGCGUUGCUCGGAAUUACUGGGCGUAAAGCGCACGUAGGCGGAUCCUUAAGUCGGUGGUGAAAUCCUGAAGCUCAACUUCAGAACUGCCUUCGAUACUGGGGACCUUGAGUUCGGGAGAGGUGAGUGGAACUGCGAGUGUAGAGGUGAAAUUCGUAGAUAUUCGCAAGAACACCAGUGGCGAAGGCGGCUCACUGGCCCGAUACUGACGCUGAGGUGCGAAAGCGUGGGGAGCAAACAGG
rnacentral:rRNA from 1 species